GAUGAAGAACGCAGCGAAAUGCGAUAGUAAUGUGAAUUGCAGAAUUCAGUGAAUCAUCGAAUCUUUGAACGCACAUUGCGCCCGCCAGUAUUCUGGCGGGCAUGCCUGUCUGAGCGUCAUUUCAACCCUCAUGCCCCUAGGGCGUGGUGUUGGGGAUCGGCCAAAGCCCGCGAGGGACGGCCGGCCCCUAAAUCUAGUGGCGGACCCGUCGUGGCCUCCUCUGCGAAGUAGUGAUAUUCCGCAUCGGAGAGCGAUGAGCCCCUGCCGUUAAACCCCCAACUUUCCAAGGUUGACCUCAGAUCAGGUAGGAAUACCCGCUGAACUUAAGCAUAUCAAUAAGCGGAGGA
rnacentral:misc_RNA from 1 species